GGAGGCGGAUCUGCCACGGCACCGCAGGCGACUGGACAUGGUGUCGGCCGAGCAGCUCAUCAGGAGCACCGCGCUGGGCUCCCCCACCUGGCAAGAGGGCGAGGAAAGUCAGCAACAGAGGCUACAUCGUCCCCUGCUACUUGCUUUUCCUGAGCACUUGUCUGCCGUCUGGCCUCGACUAACAGUUGCUGUCAUCGUCGAUUAAUCUGUCUGUGGGUUCCUCGAUGGAUCGAUCAGUUUCUUGUUUGCAGAUUGACAGUCUGGCGCUCUGACCUUGGCCUCAUACUCCUCCACCCGUCUCAGGUCUCUGGGGAAGCCGCUGACCACCACACCUUUCCCCUGCCGCACCGACGACGCCACCGCCUCACACAGCA